ACUUUUAUUUCUUUUUUUGAGAGGUUUGGGACGUAAAGGGAUGAAAUAGUGCUGAGGGGGUAGGUUCGUGAUUUGGGUAUAAUAGAUACAACAUACAAUAAUUUUAUAACUAUACAUUUCAUAACGGAAACUACAGUUGCUAGAAAGGAAUGAUAUUGUUAUAAUCAGGCAACCAAAACGCAGUAAAAUCCUCACGUCAUUUGAUUUCUUUGCCAGACAAUGAUGGCUACAAAAACACAAGAGGUCACUUUUUAUCGCAAGAAUCAAAAAUAUAAGCUACAUACACGAUACAAGUCAUGUCGAGUGUAAUUUACUUAUUUAAAGAUAUUGUAGGGAGUCAGUGGCACAGUGGUUAGCAGGUUGGACUACAACGCCAGCGGCCCGGGUUCGAUUCCCAGCAUUCAGUGCUGGGUGAUUUACUUAAAUUAGUACUGUUUCCAGCAGUAUUGGCUGGAUACUGGAUGCUGGGGAGGUAAAUAUGACACCUGCCGUAGGCUCGGCUAGAAAUAAGUUGUUCCAUCCAUUCCAGGUGGGGACUUUCGUCGACUACCCACGUUAAAGAAGAAACUUUACCUUUUAAGUAAUAAUAUGAUAUUGUUGAGUUUAUUCCAUCAUGUUCGCGGACCAAUGACAAUGUAAACCACUUUGUAACAAACAAAUUUAUAUUGCACAUACGACGUUAAUCACGUCGAGCAUAACUUAAUUGAUAUGUUGAUUUUAAAUUACACUAGUUUUUUUUUUCGACAGUUUUCCUGUUUAUAUUUGGAUGCACCAAUAAGAGUGCAAAAUCAUUUGUAAUUAAUAAGUACAUGUUAUAAGCGAUGUCAAAAUUAUAAUGAAUAAUGUUCAUUUCUUUGUUUUGAAGGUAUAUAUUGUCAUGUGGUUUUUGUCCUGUUAGAAAGACAGAAAACAAAAGUAGAUUAAAACGACUAUAAAAACAUUUUAAAACAUUAUAAAACAGUUUAGUUAUGCUAAUUAAGACGGAUGUGAUCAAGGUGGGAGUUUCUUAUAUAAAAUGCGAACGAUAAGCUCAGUACCUCAAGAUACAGAAGCGGAAUCACAAUCAUAAUCAACAUACAAGAAGAAAUGAAAAACAUAACUGUGUUAUACCUUAUAAUUUGCCUUUGCAUGGAACCAUCGUUUGCAGAUAAGAAGUUGUUCAGAGUUAAGCAGGUUACUUGUGGACGUAUUAUUGAAAAAUAUAUGGGGAAUGGAGCUUGUAACGCACACUGUCGAAGUAUUGACAAAGGUAGAGGGGAAUGUAGAGGUGGAACCUGUAAUUGUAAGCCAAACUCCCAGUUGCAAUGCACAGAUCCGACCUGUCAAUCAUACCAACAAUAUUGGCCUGUAAGAUAAUGUGUUAUCCGUCAAUCUGCUAUCUUUGUUGCUAAGGUACCAUAGUGUCUCACAAGCUUACAGUAACUAAAUAGGCCUACCUGCAGACUGUGAAGUUCUAAAUAAUCAAAGCACUGAAAGUUCUGAGAGCAAGGGGCUUAUUGCAAAUCAUGGAUGUCAGUUAUACAUAUGUAUACGCUCAUUAAUACCAGUCUAUUAGGAACCAUCAUUAAAGUCAUACAUUCAAAAACC